rnacentral:rRNA from 1 species
UACGGAGGGUGCGAGCGUUAUCCGGAAUCACUGGGUUUAAAGGGUGCGUAGGCGGGGAAUUAAGUCAGUGGUGAAAUCUUGUCGCUUAACGAUAAAAUUGCCAUUGAUACUGAUUUUCUUGAAUUGGGUUGAGGUUAGCGGAAUGUGACAUGUAGCGGUGAAAUGCAUAGAUAUGUCAUGGAACACCAAUUGCGAAGGCAGCUAGCUGGGCCUUGAUUGACGCUGAGGCACGAAAGCGUGGGUAGCGAACAGG